rnacentral:rRNA from 1 species
GAUGAACGCUGGCGGCGUGCCUAAUACAUGCAAGUCGAGCGAACGGACGAGAAGCUUGCUUCUCUGAUGUUAGCGGCGGACGGGUGAGUAACACGUGGAUAACCUACCUAUAAGACUGGGAUAACUUCGGGACACCGGAGCUAAUACCGGAUGAUAUUUUGCACCACAUGGUUCAAAAGUGAAAGACGGUCUUGCUGUCACUUAUAGAUGGAUCCGCGCUGCAUUAGCUAGUUGGUAAGGUAACGGCUUACCAAGGCAACGAUGCAUAGCCGACCUGAGAGGGUGAUCGGCCACACUGGAACUGAGACACGGUCCAGACUCCUACGGGAGGCAGCAGUAGGGAAUCUUCCGCAAUGGGCGAAAGCCUGACGGAGCAACGCCGCGUGAGUGAUGAAGGUCUUCGGAUCGUAAAACUCUGUUAUUAGGGAAGAACAUAUGUGUAAGUAACUGUGCACAUCUUGACGGUACCUAAUCAGAAAGCCACGGCUAACUACGUG